rnacentral:rRNA from 1 species
CGCGUGAGAAUCUGGCUUCAGGUCGGGGACAACAGUUGGAAACGACUGCUAAUACCGGAUGUGCCGAGAGGUGAAAGAUUUAUNUGCCUGAAGAUGAGCUCGCGUCUGAUUAGCUAGUUGGUGNGGUAAGAGCUUACCAAGGCNACGAUCAGUAGCUGGUUUGAGAGGAUGAUCAGCCACACUGGGACUGAGACACGGCCCAGACUCCUACGGGAGGCAGCAGUGGGGAAUUUUCCGCAAUGGGCGAAAGCCUGACGGAGCAAUACCGCGUGAGGGAGGANAGGCUCUUGGGUCGUAAACCUCUUUUCUCAAGGAAGAAAUUNNUGACGGUACUUGAGGAAUAAGCAUCGGCUAACUCCGUGCCAGCAGCCGCGGUAAUACGGAGGAUGCAAGCGUUAUCCGGAAUGAUUGGGCGUAAAGGGUCCGCAGGUGGAACUGAAAGUCUGCUGUUAAAGAAUUUGGCUCAACCAGAUAAAAGCAGUGGAAACUACAGAACUAGAGUAUGGUAGGGGUAGAAGGAAUUCCUAGUGUAGCGGUGAAAUGCGUAGAGAUUAGGAAGAACACCGGUGGCGAAAGCGUUCUACUAGACCAAGACUGACACUGAGGGACGAAAGCUAGGGGAGCGAAAGGGA